rnacentral:miRNA from 1 species
UAGUUUUUUUGUCUUCUUUU